UGCAAGUCGAACGAGAAAAUAGAGCUUCGGCUUUAUGAGUAAAGUGGCGAACGGGUGAGUAACACGUGGAUAACUUGCCCCUGAAUCUGGGAUAAUCAACCGAAAGGUCGUCUAAUACCGGAUAAUAUCAUUUGAUGGCAUCUUCGAAUGAUCAAAGGUGGAGCAAUCUACCGAUCAGGGAUAGGUCCGCGGUUCAUUAGCUUGUUGGUGGGGUAACGGCCUACCAAGGCGACGAUGAAUAGCCGGCUUGAGAGAGUGAACGGCCACACUGGGACUGAGAUACGGCCCAGACUCCUACGGGAGGCAGCAGUAGGGAAUAUUGCGCAAUGGACGAAAGUCUGACGCAGCAACGCCGCGUGGGUGAUGAAGCAUCUUGGUGUGUAAAACCCUGUCAGCGGGGAAGAACCGUACAAGUAGUAACUGACUUGUACCUGACGGUACCCGCAGAGGAAGUCCCGGCUAACUCCGUGCCAGCAGCCGCGGUAAUACGGGGGGGACUAACGUUGUUCGGAUUUACUGGGCGUAAAGGGUGCGUAGGCGGACCUUCAAGUCGGAUGUGAAAACUAUAGGCUCAACUUAUAGCCUGCAUUCGAUACUGUUGGUCUUGAGUUAAUCAGAGGAAAGCGGAAUUCCAGGUGUAGCGGUGAAAUGCGUAGAUAUCUGGAGGAACACCAGUAGCGAAGGCGGCUUUCUGGGGUU
rnacentral:rRNA from 1 species